rnacentral:rRNA from 1 species
GACGAACGCUGGCGGCGUGCUUAACACAUGCAAGUCGAACGGUGAAGCGCUUUCCUUUUUGGUUGGUGUGGAUGAGUGGCGAACGGGUGAGUAACACGUGAGUAACCUGCCCCCUUCUUCUGGAUAACCGCAUGAAAGUGUGGCUAAUACGGGAUAUUCUGCGCCUGCUGCAUGGUGGGUGUGGGAAAGAUUGUGCCUUUGGGUGUUUUCGGUGGGGGAUGGGCUCGCGGCCUAUCAGCUUGUUGGUGGGGUGAUGGCCUACCAAGGCGGUGACGGGUAGCCGGCCUGAGAGGGUGGACGGUCACACUGGGACUGAGACACGGCCCAGACUCCUACGGGAGGCAGCAGUGGGGAAUAUUGCACAAUGGGCGCAAGCCUGAUGCAGCGACGCCGCGUGAGGGAUGGAGGCCUUCGGGUUGUGAACCUCUUUCGCCAGUGAAGCAGGCCUGCUCCUUGUGGGUGGGUUGACGGUAGCUGGAGAAGAAGCGCCGGCUAACUACGU